rnacentral:rRNA from 1 species
UAGGGAAUCUUCCACAAUGGACGAAAGUACUGAUGGAGCAACGCCGCGUGAGUGAAGAAGGGUUUCGGCUCGUAAAACUCUGUUGUUAAAGAAGAACAUAUCUGAGAGUAACUGUUCAGGUAUUGACGGUAUUUAACCAGAAAGCCACGGCAACUACGUGCCAG